rnacentral:lncRNA from 1 species
AAAAGGAAAAAAAAGAGAGAGGUGGACGGGCCGGCCCGAAAAGACCGGGCCCAUCCACCAUAUACGAUCGUGCCUAGGGCACGAUCGUGGGAGAAGAAACACAAAAAAAAAAAAGGGAAGGGGGAGAGCGGCGGCGGCAGCGUCCGGGGAGAGGUUGGUCGCCGGAGGGGUUGAUCGCCGGAGAGGAGACCGAGAUCCGGCCGGCCACGGAGGAAGUUUUCUUCGGUGAAGACCUCCCGCAAACGGGAGAAAAAGCUUUGGACCCGUGCGUGUGCUCACGGAUUUCCUCCUCCGAUUGCUCGCCGGAAAGGCCGCCGGAGCACGCCGUCGGACCGAGGUAAGUGUGGCUUCCUUCUUUAUGCUUCAUUUGCUAGGAUUAGGGCCUUGUUGAUGGGGUGUUUGGUCGGUGAAUCGUCGGAGAAGAGCCCGAAACAGGGUACCCCUGUUUCGGCCUCUCUCUUCCGGAUUGUGCCGCCGCCGGCCACCGGGAUUGGCCGGGAUCUAUGGCGGUGGGGUUGGUCAGGUUGCUGUGAGGAUCGGAGAGGGAUUUCUAGGGUUUUAGAGGGGAUGGAGAGAGGUGGACCGAGAUCUCCUACCUCGUGAUCCCAUCUCCCUUCUCUUCCUCUCAUCGGUUGGCUGCCGGCCGGCGACGACGGUGAGGUGGUUGCUGGCGGGUGGGGGGAGCCGAGCCACCCUCAGGGUGGUCUUCCGUGGGUGAAGGGGGAGGAGGAAGGGAGGAAAGCAUGCCGAUUCUUGGGGGAAUAAGAAGAAGAAGAAGAAGAUAUCUCUUCUUCCCUCCUUCUCUUGGCCGGCGAUGAUGUGGCUAGUGGUGGCUGUGGUGUUGUCGGGUUGGGGAAGGAAAGGG